rnacentral:rRNA from 1 species
AUUGAACGCUGGCGGCAGGCCUAACACCUGCAAGUCGAACGAGUGGCGGACGGGUGAGUAAUGUCUGGGAAACUGCCUGAUGGAGGGGGAUAACUACUGGAAACGGUAGCUAAUACCGCAUACCAUCGGAUGUACCCAGAUGGGAUUAGCUAGUGGGUGGGGUAAAGGCUCACCAAGGAGACGACCCCUAGCUGGUCUGAGAGGAUGACCAGACACACUGGAACGGAGACACGGUCCAGACUCCUACGGGAGGCAGCAGUGGGGAAGAUGGCACAAUGGGCGCAAGCCUGAUGCAGCCAUGCCGCGUGUGUGAAGAAGGCCUUCGGGUUGUAAAGUACUUGCAGCGGGGAGGCGUUACCCGCAGAAGAAGCACCGGCUAACUCCGUGCCAGCAGCCGCGGUAAUUC